CGCGCCUCCCUGGCCCCCGCUGCUCCUGCAAAGUGGAAUAAACGCCCGGUUUCCCGGCAAAUAUUCACCCUGCCGGCACCGAAAGGGAGGCCGCCCCCCCUCCUUGCCCCCCGUCAGAGGCGGGCCGGGGUCCGGCGGCGCGCCCGGCGGCGCCCGCCCCCAACCAAAGCAUCUGGAAAAUGACACAGCCUGAAGAAAAUGGGAAUUCAAAAUCUGACUCCAAGUUUCCUCAUGAACCCGUCCGCUCCUCCACAUCUGUAGAAAGGGACAGGAAACUUUGAGAUGCCAUGUUUUGACACCUGCUUAGAAUGAAGACUUGUUUAGAAAUGUGGGAAUUUCCUCCCCAGAGAACAGAACAUCUGAGUUUUUAUCAGCGCUUGCAGAACUGUCGUUCUCUCUGUCAAUGGAGACUCUACACCAGUCAAUACAUCAAGGACAAGAGAAAGACAUUGUCAAGUUACUCAAGCAGACCAUCUCACAGCUUCUUCUGCAGGCUUGGUCUUCUUUGACACGAUUGUAUUUUUUAAAUUUUGGAUUUGUUUUCCUUUCCUAAGGUUUUUGGGGAGGUCGGUGUGCCACAGUCCAGUGAGAGGCAAUGUCUUCAGAUGGCGCUGAACAAGCUCUCUUAUGCAAAUAGUGUCAAGAUGCAGAAAGGGGCAUAGAUUGUAGAAAUGAGUUGGAAUGGCGUGAAGGCUGCUGUAUGCCAGGAUUUUAUCCAGGACUUUCCUGUAAAUCUUCUGAGCUGAGAUGCCUUGAAGCUUCAAGUAUAUAAGCAUUUUUGAAUAUGUAUACUACCAGAAAAGCUGAAGAUUUGGCAUGAAUGAAUCCACUACAGAGAUAUCUGCUGGAGUAAGCAGAGAACUUUAAAGCUUUUUUUUCGCCAUGAUGUGCUGUUAGAAGAGGUGAGGUAUCUGGAAAAAAAUUAGACUUUGUGUGAAAAAAAGGAAGCAGCUGACCAAUAAACUACUUAGAAAAAAAUUUAGUUAAAAAGAAGUAUGGACUGAAAAGUUUGGGAUUUUCUUGGACCAUUAAGGAGUCGUAUUAUUGCAGAUUCCAGCUUGAAUCCAGGCCAGGCCAGCAGAGGAAGUCUUUUAGAGCUGGUAAGAAAAUGCCAGAUGUGCUGAUAAAAAAUUGGAUAUGCGGAUGGAACCAGGAUCAUCCUCCAGUACAUUUUCUAAUCACCUGUUAUUUAUCAAAGCCAGGGCCAUGUGACGUAGUUUCAGUAUCUGGUUCCUACUUAUGGUGGAUUGCUCCUGGUGUCCAGAUUGUACUCAGUAAGCUGGCAAUCACUCUUCAGCUUUGCAACCUUGUUAGCAGUCUCGUGUCUAAGUCCAUGUACAAGCAGGAUAUCAUUCUUUUGCAUCUGUAUUUCCAUUCAUCUGUUUUCCUUUCAUUUGUUUCAUUAUUGCUCUACUCAUUCUUGGGUAAGAUAAAGUAUUCUGUACUUAUUAAUGAUACUGAUUCCUUUGACGUUUCUGAGGCAGGCAUGAGUGAAAAAGCCGUUACAGGUUGUCCAGCCUGCUAGGAGAUGGACUGAUCCAGGUUUUGUAUUGGGAACUGCUCUGGAAUUCAGCUUCUGAGACCUUCUGGUCCAGCUAAGCAUCUGGCAAGGACAAGUGUCCCCAUCUUGCCUGCCUACAAUUUCUCUCACCCCUUAACUGUGCAGAUGGUGCUACCUGGGGUAUGUAUACGUAUUAGCCUCACAUUUACUAAUUAGUAUAUAGUGUGGUUUUCCUCAAUGAUGUAUUUAAGGAAUGCAUGAGGAUCACUUGUACAUCUGCCCCUCCAUAGCAGUACAGAAGGUACUAUAUUAUUCUUCAGAUAAUGGAGCUGUAUGUGCUCACAAAAUUUGCAAAACAGUUCUUUGACAGAAGUGAUUCUCAAAGAUAAUUCCAAAGUCCUUGUCUCCUAAUGGUGUAGAUUUCCACUGAGACUUCCCCUUAAAGAGAAAUCAUUUGGUUUGUCAGUGUGACAGACCCAUUUAAUAAUAAAAGCCACUGGAAAUAAACAUAAUGUAUUUUAUUGGUGUUUCUACACAUUGAACUGUAGGGGGAGGUAAGGUCAGAUGUUGAAUAUACAAGGCAACAAUUGACAAAGUAAUGUACAGCAUUUGUUUGGUGUCCAGCCAAAGAUUUGCAGUGCUUUUAAAACGGUAAAGUACAUAGCAAAUAUUUGAUGUGCCAAACCACAGAAGACAGUUCAUGAUGGUUAUGGAGUGGAAGAGACUGUGAGUAGUCCCUGUAGUGUAUUUACUAUACUGUACAUUUUGCACAUGCUAUUUAUUAUACUGCUAGUAAUAUGUUUGUAGUCCCUUUUUUCCCAUAGUAUAUUAUCGUGAACAGAGACCCAGUGGGAGAGUUUUACUUAUUGUGAAAUAGGAGUUGUGCUUCUUGCUGUCCCUUUCCUUCGGUAAAAAUCAAGUUAGCAUUUUCAGGAAUGAACUAUGCAGAAGUGUUUUAUUACCAUAUAGAAGAUAGUUCUGGAAACAAAAUUAGAUGCAACAACAUUAAAAAAAAAAAACCAAAGCAAAAAAACCCAAACAAAAAACCAGCAGUGACACCCCAAACCCAGAGAGAAUUGUGCUAAUUAAGAAAUCAGAGAAAGCUGAUGUUUUAAACUUCUCCUAUUCUCUGUUCAUUUGCUUGCUUAUUUCUCUAUUCAUUUUCCUACCACCACCAGCACCACCAUUAAUUUCUUUCGUAUUGCCUUUUCUCAUUCUGACAUGUCUACACUUCAGUCUUCUGCUCUGAUGAAGAUAUGAUCUGGCUAGCUGCAAACUCACCAACUCACUUGCCAGGAGCAAUGCAGACGCACCAAGCCAGAGCUCAGCAUAUGCCAGUCACCUCUGCAGGUGGGAAUGUGACUUCUAUGCUUCUGCUAAUGCCUACACUGGGUGCUACAUCACUGUGCUGUGUAGACAUCUGAGAAAGGCUUUCUGGGGGGCUGUCAGUGUGUUUUGUUGUCACUUGGUAUUUAUUUUGUGUGGCCAGGCUCCCCGGAGCAGGGCUGAGUGCUUGCUGUAUAAAGCUGACCCUCCAUUUCAAAACUGCCUGUGAGAAAUCCUGACUUUUACAUCUGUUUUUUUCCUGUAACCUAGACUGGAUGAUCACUUAGGUUUUGUUCUGUUUUCACUUGCACUGGUAGACCUAAGCAAAUCAGUUGGAUUCCAAUUCAGGGAAGCUUAAUGUGUUUUUAAUGUUACCCUCAAAAACAAUUAAAACAAAAAAGUCGUUUGUCUAGAAGUGCCUGAUUUGAGUUAUUACAGAGAUCUCUAAUGUCUAAAUGUGGAUUAGUUUUCAGUACAAAAAGGUCCUACAAGACUGAUACUUCUGUCCUUCAAGUACUUGGGCUGCUACUUUAAAUCUCUGAGUGUCCUGUUUGAAGGUGGGACUCUCACUUGCUUAAUGUUAAACAUGUGCCUGAGUGUCACGCUGAAGUCUGCAACUUUAUUCUCAGGGCAUCUAUGAUUUACUGUGUGUGUUUGCCAGGCAAC